CAGGGGAGAAUAAAAAAAUAAAAAUAAAAAACCACAAGUAAAAACUCAUUUCCGAAAAGCUAAGCUCUAAUAUUAUACUGAAGUUUCCAAAAAACUAAACUAUUAGAAAAUUUAUUUAGUAUAUAUAGCAGGGCAAGCUAUGCCAACAAAGAGACGGUUUCUUUGGUAAAGGUUUAAGAGUUUCGGCCCCCACCCAAAUGAUAAGAGUUAAAAAAAAAAAAAAAAAAAAAAAAGGAUUUGAUUUGAAUUUUUUUAAUUUAAUUUUUUGGGCAACAGAUUUGCAUCGUAAUUUUGGAUGCUGAACUUAAAAGCUAAGAGAAUUUAGCCCAAUACCCUUAUUUGAAACGUGUUAAUGAAAUCUACUCACUUGAUUGAAUUUUUUUUGUUUUACCCUUUCAUUUUCAUAUAUUCCCAAAUUACCCUUUUCAAAUAUCAAAAAGGAAAAAUCAAGCCCUAAACAGAGCAUGACGAAGAAGAAGAGGAAGAGAAAGUGAGAAAGAAUGGCAAAACAGCUUGGGAUGACCAAAGAGUUCUUUAGGAGGAGGGAUGGAAGUCAAUAAUCAUGGUUUAGAUGGUUUCUUCCUUGUCGAAUCAAAGAUGAAAGUGCAGGAAUUAAAGCGUGGAACUGAAAGCCUAUCUAGGAAUUUGCAGGUGAUGUAUGCUUUGUCGCUGGACAAGUCAAAUUUGGCUGUUUCAAAAUAUCAGGCUAAGUGCAUGGAUGCUAAAGGAUUAGUAGAACCAAACCAUCAAACUCCAGAGAAGGAUCACAAUGAUAACUAGUGUACCUGCUGGAAGUAGUAAACUGAACUAUGGAGUGAGUGACUUCAAGGAAAAAUGUUGUAGAAGAUCUUCUUGGAUCACCAGCAUGACUUUUAGCAUAUGCAUAUAGAAAGAAAUUUCAUGAUAUGCUAAGGAUCUUAGUACUAAAAAUAGUUUACAUGUACUAAAUCUUACUAGUUGGGGGUAUGUUAUAGCUUAAAUCUCAAGCUGGAUGUGUAUUUAGUUUAUCCACUUAAUCAUGCUAUAUAACAACUAUACAAUGUUCUAUACAUGUUAUAUUUUGCUUAUGCUAUCUUAGUAGUCCGUUGGAAAAAAUAUUAACAUAGAUGCAUUGAAGAAAUGUAUUAGUACAAUACAAUGGUCUCAUAUAUAUUAUGAAAUAAUUGCAAUAACAAUUAUGGAUAGGAUUGCCUAAAGGUGAUAUAUAAACCUAUUCUUUCAUCUUGUAUUUUAAUUGGUAAAAAAGUAAAUUUAUGCCCUUGUUUUUUAUUUCUUUCAUGCACAGACUAUAUAUAUAUAUAUAUAUAUUACAUGCAUCGGUAACAAUGGGUUAUAAUAUUUUUUCAAAGGAUAACUCAUGGGCUUGGUUUAUCUUAGGAUUGCAUUUUUCAUCUUGCCAUGACAUAAUAAGUUACUGUGGAGAUUGGUGGCUCAAAAAAGGAGGUAUAAUAUUAAACCAAAAGUAUAUUUCAAUGAACUUUACACAACUUUAUUAUCAAUUAAAGACGUAAAUAUUUUAAAUAUAUUUCUAUUUCAUUCACAUUUACAUACUUUUUAGUCAUGAUUCUUUCAAGAAAAAAGGUAUAUCUUAAAUCAUAAUUUUAGUUUUUGGGUUGCUGCAAAUACACAUCGAUGGCAGAAUAUGAUGAUCACAUAUUAAAAAAUUUUAAGGUCUAUGUCAUUUUUCUACAUUAAGCCCACUCAAACUAUCCCACUUGCAAAUUUUGAUGAUCCAAUUGGAAAUUUCUCCAAUAAUCAUCAAGAAGAUUAUAUAUUUUGGAGUUAAUAUUCUUUGCCUUGAUAUUGGAUAAGAGUCAGACAUUAUAUUCCAUUUGUUGCUCAAAUUAAUAUUCAUAUGUUUUGUACAUUGAAAAACAUUUAAUAUUUUUGUGGUUAGGUUGAGAUACUAGUUUUGUAUAUUUGAAAUUUGACUCCUAACAAAUUCUGCAAAAUGCCUGCACCUCAGUUGAAGAAUUUUGAAGGUCUUUUAUCGACUGCAGUAAACUCUUGUGAGUGGAUAUUUAAAUUCUGCAUAGAGUAGGUAAUUCACCAAAGAAUUCUGAUAGCAGUUAUAUUUCUUGGUGAUAAUAUACCUAAAACAAAUUUGGAAAAGGAAGGUGUAUUUGCUAUAUGAUAAUAAUAAUUCCGAUACAUAGCUGCAUUAGCCAUUCCUUACGAUAGUUACUUGGUUACAUGGAUGACUUUCUUUGUUUGUUUUUCCUUUUAUAAACAAAGAAUCUAGCGAUAGUUGCUCUCUUUCUUUAUUUGACAGGUUCAACUUAAAGAAGCUCAUACAUGAAGAAAGGAAGAACCAGUUAAUUGAAGGAUUGACUAAAUUUGGGCAGUGGCAUAAAUUUUCAAAGAUAAUGCACAUGCCGUAUAGAGAAACCUGGCUUUCCUUGUGUCCAUGCAAUUGCAGCAUGUAAGCAUCAAUAUAUUUCUCCAUAUAUCCUUUGCUUAGCACAUUACUCAGUUGACUCACUUCGUGACGCAUAUUCGGAAACCAUAUAUCCACUUGGAGAUAAAUGUUAGUGGCAUUCUCUAGAUGAUGUCAUAAACCAGCUUGUACUUCCACAUAAGAUUGGCAAACAGUCAAGAAGACCAAGAAAGAAGAGGAUUCAAUCUCAAGGAGAGGAGCGUCAUCAAUAUAGAUGCAGGAGGUGCAAACAAAAUGGUCAUAGCAGCCGAUCAUGCUCAGCCGCCAUACCUCUUGAUAGCACCGCCAACCAAUAGCACCAUUCAACUGAAGGACCAUAAAUCGCUCUACACUAUAUUAAGACAAUGGGGGCAUGUUAUGUGAUAUGCAUGUGUUAUGCAAUGUAAUAAGGAAUGCAAUUAGUAGCUCAACCGCGUAACGUGUGUUUUGGCAUAAUAGACAUUGGUUUUAUGUGUUGUUUUGUUGAAAAAGUUAUCUAUCGUAUUGUAUUGAUAAAAUAUCAAUGAUCCUAAAUAGAAAAAACUCCAA